GGAAUUGUCAUGUUGGGAAAGCGACAGUUGGGGCAGUUAGUUCAGGGAGAGGGAAGAGAGCAUGAAUGUCGGGCUAGCGGUAGAAGUAAGUCCUGUGGGGAAUUUGUGAAAGACAUCUGGUGAGGGGAGACAGUGAUCAAGGGCUGGGAGUGGCUGAGGCAGGUAGAGAAAGAAGAAAACAGAGGAGGAGGAGGAGGAGAGAACAGAUGUAAGGUGUAGGGCUAGUCCUUCAGCCUGCAAGGCCAAAGAGCAGUGUGAGAGGGUCGCCUCACAGGAACAGCCAGGACAUCAAAAACUGGUGGGGGAGAAGAAUGCAAAAUUGGUUUAUUUUAUAGGAAAUAAUAUAGCCUUGCACGGGUAUUAUAAUCUGGAGAGAAGUUGUUCCUUCCCUCUUUAAUAAUAAUAAUUUAACCAAGGCGCUGGCGUAGACUUCCAAGCUUCUUUCCCAGAUCGUCAUAUGCAGGACAUCUCUGUCUCUAUCCCUGGCAUAUCUCCAGGUAGGGCUUGGAAAGUCCUCUGUUUGAAACCCUGGAGAGGCUCUACCAAUCAGUGCAGAAAAAACUGAGCAAGAUGAACCAAUGGUCUGAUUUAGUACUAGGUAGCUUCCCAAGUUCCUAUUGAACCUGUUCCACACCAUUGGCUGCUGAGGGGCAUAGAUGGGGGAACUCAAAAUAUAUUGUGGCAUUCAGGGAAAGUGAAUCUAGACUUGAUAUCAGGGAUGGGAAAGAUCUAUUACAGUUUCCAGUGGCAUCUCCAUUGUAGGCAUAUUGUGCAGCCCAGCUCUAAGUGCCUGAUGGAUUUCUUCCUAAUUGUCCUAUAGGCAAAUAUUCCUAUGAUUUUAUGUUCCAGUACUGAAGCCAUUUGUCCAGAUGGGGAAAGUUAGUUUCCUGUGAUGGAAGCUGUUAAAUAAUCAGCUGCAACUACAUGGACAGGGCAUUAUGAACCGCAGCCAAGAGGAUAGAUUUCAAGAGGUGGAGGUCCCAGGAUUAAUUAUAACAGAUUACAUAAUCAGGUCCUUCAUUUAUAAUCUUUUGGCAAACUGUCCCUAAAGCUACAAAAGUGGGGACCUCUGCUCCCUAUUUAGAUAAUUGAAAUCCUUUCAGAACAGCAGCUGAAAACAAUGCUGGAAUGGAAUAAAUAGCCUCACCUCUUAGUCUUGAAGGUUCUGCUUGGAUUCUAUAGAACAUGGAGAAACUGGGAUAGGUGGAAAGGGAUUGACAUAGCUUUCCACUGCUCUUGCCUGCAAGACCAGUAGUUUAUAUAAUCCCUUUGGUCAGUCUAACCAUCAUGUGCUUGUGGCUUCCCACUUUUUAGCUGCAUAUAGGUAACAUUAAUUGGAGUCUAGCGUUAUAGCCAUUAUUCUGCCCCCAGCUUUGCAGAUUCAUUUGUGUGUGGUGAUGUCCCUGUUGUCACUGCCCAUGGGUUAGUUCUCCAGAUGUUAUUGGAAUCCAACUUCCAUUAGCCUCAGACAUCAUGGUAAAUAGGGGAGAUAGGAGUUGAAAUCCAGCAACAUAUAAAGGGCCACAGGUUAGUCACCCCUUGUAUAAAUCAGGGCUGGAUUAACUAUUAAAAAAUGAGCACACAGUUAUUUGCACUUCUGAAAAACAAUGGGGUUCCCCUAAGGAUGUGAAUAUCUGUCUCUCUUGUUACUCUCUGUCUCUCUUUCGGCUCCAUUGCUAUUGACACUCACCACCUGAGUUGGCUAUUAGAGGCAGCAUUUCCAGAAACACCCAAUGUCUCUCAUGCUUUGUUACUCCUUUAUGGGCACUGUCCCUGAGCAAGCUGUUAGAAUUCCUGCUCCAUGAUUGCAGUCAUGGGAUUUUUGUCUAUCACAUGACGGUGUAUGUUUUUACUCCACAGAGUAGGAAGUGACGGAGACAGGAUGUUUGUGUUACUGUAUUCCGUGAAGAGGGACUAUUGUCCUUUGUUCUUUUUCUCUCUUUGCUGUCUGAUGCUAGAGAGAGAGGGAGCCAUGUUGCAGUGCUCCAGGUGUGUUUAUAUGUAAAUAAAGUAUAUUAGCC
rnacentral:lncRNA from 1 species